AACGCAAGUUGCGCCCGAUGCCAUUAGGUUGAGGGCACGUCUGCCUGGGCGUCACAUAUCGAAGCCUCUCGCCAAUUUCCUAUAUUGAUAGGGGUAUUGUGCAGGGCGAAUGUUGGCCUCCCGUGAGCUUUAUUGCCUCAUGGUUGGUUGAAAAUCGAGACCUUGGUAGGGUGUGCCAUGAUAGGUGGUGGCUGUGUUACGCACGAGACCAAGUAAGUCAUGUGCUGCUCUAUUGAAUUUAGGCCUCUUUUACCCACAUGCGUUUCGAAACGCUCGUGAUGAGACCUCAGGUCAGGCGGGGCUACCCGGCUGAAUUUAA
rnacentral:misc_RNA from 1 species